GGGGCAGUAGCUCAGACGGUAGAGCACUCGCUUAGCAUGCGAGAGGUACGGGGAUCGAAACCCCGCGCCUCCA
rnacentral:tRNA from 1 species